GAUGAACGCUGGCGGCGUGCCUAACACAUGCAAGUCGAGCGAAGCACUUGUGAAUGAUCCUUCGGGUGAUUUUGCUGGUGACUGAGCGGCGGACGGGUGAGUAACGCGUGGGUAACCUGCCUCAUACAGGGGGAUAACAGUUAGAAAUGACUGCUAAUACCGCAUAAGCGCACAGUACCACAUGGUACAGUGUGAAAAACUCCGGUGGUGUGAGAUGGACCCGNGUCUGAUUAGCUAGUUGGCAGGGCAACGGCCUACCAAGGCGACGAUCAGUAGCCGACCUGAGAGGGUGACCGGCCACAUUGGGACUGAGACACGGCCCAAACUCCCUAACGGGGAGGCCAGCAGUGGGAAUA
rnacentral:rRNA from 1 species